CCUACGGGUGACAGCAGUGAGGAAUAUUGGUCAAUGGACGAGAGUCUGAACCAGCCAAGUAGCGUGAAGGAUGACUGCCCUAUGGGUUGUAAACUUCUUUUAUAUGGGAAUAAAAUGUUCCACGUGUGGGAUUUUGUAUGUACCAUAUGAAUAAGGAUCGGCUAACUCCGUGCCAGCAGCCGCGGUAAUACGGAGGAUCCGAGCGUUAUCCGGAUUUAUUGGGUUUAAAGGGAGCGUAGGUGGAUUGUUAAAUCAGUUGUGAAAGUUUGCGGCUCAACCGUAAAAUUGUAGUUGAAACUGGCAGUCUUGAGUACAGUAGAGGUGGGCGGAAUUCGUGGUGUAGCGGUGAAAUGCUUAGAUAUCACGAAGAACUCCGAUUGCGAAGGCAGUUCACUGGACUGCAACUGACACUGAGGCUCGAAAGUGUGGGUAUCAAACAGGAUUAGAUACCCCUGUAGUC
rnacentral:rRNA from 1 species